rnacentral:rRNA from 1 species
AUUACAGAGUUUUCUAAACUCCCAACCCUAUGUGAACUUACCUUUGUUGCUUCGGCGGCGGAGGCUACCCUAUAGGGGAUACCACAUAGUGGUUACCCUGUAGUCCCAGGUGCUAGAUCGUGCUCAACGUCUUAUCGUCUACGACUAGCUACCCGGUGGCCCUCCCCGCCGGCGGCCAACUAAACUCUGUUUUUAUGGCAUUCUGAAUUAUAAACUUAAUAAGUUAAAACUUUCAACAACGGAUCUCUUGGUUCUGGCAUCGAUGAAGAACGCAGCGAAAUGCGAUAAGUAAUGUGAAUUGCAGAAUUCAGUGAAUCAUCGAAUCUUUGAACGCACAUUGCGCCCAUUAGCAUUCUAAUGGGCAUGCCUGUUCGAGCGUCAUUUCACCACUUAAGCCCUGUUGCUUAGCGUUGGGAGCCUACGGCACUGCCCGUAGCUCCCUAAAGUGAUUGGCGGAGUUGGUUCUCACUCUAGGCGUAGUAAAUCUAUCUCGCCUCUGUAGUGGUUCCGGCCCCUGCCGUAAAACCCCCUAUAUCAAAGGUUGACCUCGGAUCAGGUAGGAAUACCCGCUGAACUUAAGCAUAUCAAUAAGCGGAGGAAAAGAAACCAACAGGGAUUGCCCUAGUAACGGCGA